rfam:Schistosoma mansoni strain Puerto Rico chromosome 2, complete genome
AUCCAGCUGACGAGUCCCAAAUAGGAGGAAACGCGCGUCCUCGAU